AGGGUUUGAUCAUGGCUCAGGAUGAACGCUGGCGGCGUGCUUAACACAUGCAAGUCGAACGAAGCAUUUGCGACAGAUUUCUUCGGAUUGAAGUUGCUUAUGACUGAGUGGCGGACGGGUGAGUAACGCGUGGGUAACCUGCCUCACACAGGGGGAUAGCAGUUGGAAACGGCUGAUAAUACCGCAUAAGCGCACAGUACCGCAUGGUACAGUGUGAAAAACUCCGGUGGUACAGGAUGGGCCCGCGUCUGAUUAGCUGGUUGGCAGGGUAACGGCCUACCAAGGCAACGAUCAGUAGCCGGUCUGAGAGGAUGAACGGCCACAUUGGAACUGAGACACGGUCCAA
rnacentral:rRNA from 1 species